GAGGGUACAGCUCAGUGGUAGAGUGCAUGCUUACUUAGCAUGCAUGAGGUCCCAGGUUCAAUCCCCAGUACCUCCA
rfam:Camelus ferus unplaced genomic scaffold scaffold1033, whole genome shotgun sequence.